rnacentral:rRNA from 1 species
CCCUUAGAGUUUGAUCCUGGCUCAGGAUGAACGCUGGCGGCGUGCCUAAUACAUGCAAGUCGAACGCUUCACUUCGGUGAAGAGUGGCGAACGGGUGAGUAAUACAUAAGUAACCUGGCAUCUACAGGGGGAUAACUGAUGGAAACGUCAGCUAAGACCGCAUAGGUGUAGAGAUCGCAUGAACUCUAUAUGAAAAGUGCUACGGGACUGGUAGAUGAUGGACUUAUGGCGCAUUAGCUUGUUGGUAGGGUAACGGCCUACCAAGGCGACGAUGCGUAGCCGACCUGAGAGGGUGACCGGCCACACUGGGACUGAGACACGGCCCAGACUCCUACGGGAGGCAGCAGUAGGGAAUUUUCGGCAAUGGGGGAAACCCUGACCGAGCAACGCCGCGUGAAGGAAGAAGUAAUUCGUUAUGUAAACUUCUGUCAUAGAGGAAGAACGGUGGAUAUAGGGAAUGAUAUCCAAGUGACGGUACUCUAUAAGAAAGCCACGGCUAACUACGUGCCAGCAGCCGCGGUAAUACGUAGGUGGCGAGCGUUAUCCGGAAUUAUUGGGCGUAAAGAGGGAGCAGGCGGCACUAAGGGUCUGUGGUGAAAGAUCGAAGCUUAACUUCGGUAAGCCAUGGAAACCGUAGAGCUAGAGUGUGUGAGAGGAUCGUGGAAUUCCAUGUGUAGCGGUGAAAUGCGUAGAUAUAUGGAGGAACACCAGUGGCGAAGGCGACGAUCUGGCGCAUAACUGACGCUCAGUCCCGAAAGCGUGGGGAGCAAAUAGGAUUAGAUACCCUAGUAGUCCACGCCGUAAAC